rnacentral:rRNA from 1 species
AACGAACGCUGGCGGCAUGCCUAACACAUGCAAGUCGAACGAGAUCUUCGGGUCUAGUGGCGCACGGGUGCGUAACGCGUGGGAAUCUGCCCUUUGGUUCGGAAUAACAGUUGGAAACGACUGCUAAUACCGGAUGAUGACGAAAGUCCAAAGAUUUAUCGCCAGAGGAUGAGCCCGCGUAGGAUUAGCUAGUUGGUGUGGUAAAGGCGCACCAAGGCGACGAUCCUUAGCUGGUCUGAGAGGAUGAUCAGCCACACUGGACUGAGACACGGCCCAGUCUCCUACGGGGGGCAGCAGUGGGAAAUAUUGGACAAUGGGCGAAAGCCUGAUCCAGCAAUGCCGCGUGAGUGAUGAAGGCCUUAGGGUUGUAAAGCCCUUUUACCCGGGAUGAUAAUGACAGUACCGGGAGAAUAAGCUCCGGCUAACUCCGUGCCAGCAGCCGCCGUAA